ACCUCACAAAUACUACAAUUGUAUCUGUACACUCCUCUGUAUAUCAGUUCAUCUGUACAUUUCUCCUCUGUAGGCUACAUAGGCAGGCUAUAUCUGUUCAUUCUCUGUAUAAAGGUAAACAUUCUU